GAUGAACGCUGGCGGCGUGCCUAAUACAUGCAAGUCGAGCGAACGGACGAGAAGUUUGCUUCUCUGAUGUUAGCGGCGGACGGGUGAGUAACACGUGGAUAACCUACCUAUAAGACUGGGAUAACUUCGGGAAACCGGAUCUAAUACCGGAUGAUAUUUUGAACCGCAUGGUUCAAAAGAGAAAGACGGGCUUGCUGUCACUUAUAGAUGGAUCCGCGCUGCAUUAGCUAGUUGGUAAGGUAACGGCUUACCAAGGCAACGAUGCAUAGCCGACCUGAGAGGGUGAUCGGGCACACUGGAACUGAGACACGGUCCAGACUCCUACGGGAGGCAGGAGUAGGGCAUCUGCCACAAAGGGCGAAAGCCUGACGGAGCAACGCCGCGUGAGUGAUGAAGGUCGUCGGAUCGUAAAACUCUGUUAUUAGGGAAGAACAUAUGUGUAAGUACCUGUGGACAUCUUGACGGUACCUAAUCAGAAAGCCACGGCUAACUACGUG
rnacentral:rRNA from 1 species